rnacentral:misc_RNA from 1 species
CUACCAUACAACUAUUAGGUCAUCCCAUAAGUUCGUGCCGACUUUUGUGUAUACAUGUGUCGAUUUAUAAACAUACGGCGAAAAGGGACCAAUGCACUUAAAAAAUGGGAAGAAGUUGUACAACGAGAGGGGGAUUACAUUUUUUCAUGAAACUGAAAGCAGGACAUCUUCUGUUGAUUUUAUUGGCAUAUUGGAUUAAUCACACAAACAACAUCAAAACGUUUCACGCAAUAUAUUUCAAACAUCCAAACGACCACGAUUACAAGA